rnacentral:rRNA from 1 species
AUGUCGGGGUUCGGCGACGGGUACGUGGGCACCGCGCAGGAUGCGGUGAAGAUCCGGCGGCUUGAGAAGCAGCGCGAGGCGGAGCGCCGGAAGAUCGAGGAGCUCAAGAACAAGAACGCCGACGGGCAGCCGGGCCUCCUCCAGUUCGGCUCCAGCACCUCCGAGAUUCUUGAGACUGCAUUCAAGAAGGAAACUGUCGGCCUAGUUACGAGGGAGCAGUAUGUUGAGAAGAGGGUUAACAUACGAACUAAGAUUGAGGAGGAAGAGAAAGAGAAGCUUCAAAAAUUGCAACAAGAAGAAGAAGAACUGCAAAUGCAGAAAAGGAAAAAGAGGAGAGUGAGGGGAGAUCCACGCUUGUCAUUCUAUGAUGACAUUGGGAACGGAAGUGACGAGGAUGAGUUUGAGAACCAAGAAACUCAGAAGAAACAACUUGGAAAGGAUCCCACAGUUGAGACAAGUUUUCUACCUGACAGAGAGAGAGAGGCAGAGGAACAAGCAGAGCGAGAACGCUUGAAGAUGCAGUGGUCGCGUGAGCAAGAAUUGAUCAAAAAUGAACCUCUUUCAAUCACUUACAGUUACUGGGAUGGUACUGGUCACAGGAGAGCUAUCCAGGUGCGUAAAGGUGACUCUAUUGGAGAAUUCUUGAGGGCUGUUCAACAGCAGCUUGCUCCGGAGUUCCGUGAAGUACGGACAACAUCGGUUGAGAACCUACUCUAUGUGAAGGAAGAUCUCAUUAUCCCUCAUCAACACAGCUUCUACGAGUUAAUCAUUAAUAAAGCAAGGGGCAAGAGUGGACCGCUUUUCCACUUUGAUGUUCACGAGGAUGUGCGUACCAUUGCUGAUGCAACAAAAGAGAAGGAUGAGUCUCAUGCGGGGAAGGUUGUGGAGAGACACUGGUACGAGAAGAACAAACACAUAUUCCCGGCCUCGAGAUGGGAGAUCUAUGACCCGACUAAGAAGUGGGAGCGCUACACGAUCCAUGGAGAUUAG